AGUGAACGCUGGCGGCAGGCCUAAUACAUGCAAGUCGAACGGCAGCACAGCAGAGCUUGCUCUGUGGGUGGCGAGUGGCGGACGGGUGAGGAAUACAUGGGAAUCUGCCCAGUCGUGGGGGAUAACGUAUGGAAACGUACGCUAAUACCGCAUGCGCCCUACGGGGGAAAGCCGGGGACCGCAAGGCCUGGCGCGAUUGGAUGAGCCCAUGUUCGAUUAGCUAGUUGGCGGGGUAAAGCCCACCAAGGCGACGAUCGAUAGCUGGUCUGAGAGGAUGAUCAGCCACACUGGAACUGAGACACGGUCCAAGCUCCUAGGGAGCAGCAGUAGGGAAUAUUGGACAAUGGGGCAACCCUGAUCCAGCCAU
rnacentral:rRNA from 1 species